GACGAACGCUGGCGGCGUGCUUAACACAUGCAAGUCGAACGGAAAGGCCCUGCUUUUGUGGGGUGCUCGAGUGGCGAACGGGUGUGUAACACGUGAGUAACCUGCCCUUGACUUUGGGAUAACUUCAGGAAACUGGGGCUAAUACCGGAUAGGAGCUCCUGCUGCAUGGUGGGGGUUGGAAAGUUUCGGCGGUUGGGGAUGGACUCGCGGCUUAUGAGCUUGUUGGUGGGGUAGUGGCUUACCAAGGCUUUGACGGGUAGCCGGCCUGAGAGGGUGACCGGCGACAUUGGGACUGAGAUACGGCCCAGACUCCUACGGGAGGCAGCAGUGGGGAAUAUUGCACAAUGAGCGGAAGCCUGAUGCAGCAACGCCGCGUGCGGGAUGACGGCCUUCGGGUUGUAAACCGCUUUCGCCUGUGACGAAGCGUGAGUGACGGUAAUGGGUAAAGAAGCACCGGCUAACUACGUG
rnacentral:rRNA from 1 species